rnacentral:lncRNA from 1 species
AUACCGUAUAUACCACUUGCCUGUUUUAUAAAUUGCGUGAUGCCUGGACGUGAAAUAGGUAAGAAAAAUCACUCUUGGUUUAUUUGUUGCAAGAUUAGAUAUGAACAUUCGUACAGGUUAUGAUAUGAACUUUCGUGCAGGUUAAAAUAAUCAAUUCAAACCGUAAAGAACUUAGUUGUAGCACGUUUAAAGAAUCAAAUACUGUACUCAAGCGUAAAUGACUUACCACAUGAUCAUCGCCUCACAAUCAAACCGUAUUUUGUUGCCUUAUUUAAAUGAAACACUUCCAAAUUUUCGAACAUACCAUAAAGUCUCUCUGAGGAAGGAGUUAAUAUGCUGCCUUAGUUAAAUCUCCGUUUUUUUUUUUUUGGAAUCUGA